rnacentral:rRNA from 1 species
GACGAACGCUGGCGGCGUGCUUAACACAUGCAAGUCGAACGGAAAGGCCCUGCUUGCAGGGUACUCGAGUGGCGAACGGGUGAGUAACACGUGGGUGAUCUGCCCUGCACUUCGGGAUAAGCUUGGGAAACUGGGUCUAAUACCGGAUAGGAACCAUCUUUAGUGUGGUGGUUGGAAAGUUUUUUCGGUGUAGGAUGAGCUCGCGGCCUAUCAGCUUGUUGGUGGGGUAAUGGCCUACCAAGGCGGCGACGGGUAGCCGGCCUGAGAGGGUGUACGGCCACAUUGGGACUGAGAUACGGCCCAGACUCCUACGGGAGGCAGCAGUGGGGAAUAUUGCACAAUGGGCGCAAGCCUGAUGCAGCGACGCCGCGUGGGGGAUGAAGGCCUUCGGGUUGUAAACUCCUUUCGCUAGGGACGAAGCUUUUUGUGACGGUACCUAGAUAAGAAGCACCGGCUAACUACGUGC